rnacentral:rRNA from 1 species
GACGAACGCUGGCGGCGUGCCUAAUACAUGCAAGUAGGACGCAGUUGCGAACGGGUGAGUAACGCGUAGGUAACUGCCUAUUAGAGGGGGAUAACUAUUGGAAACGAUAGCUAAUACCGCAUACUAGUAGAUGGACCUGCGUUGUAUUAGCUAGUAGGUAGGGUAAUGGCCUACCUAGGCAACGAUACAUAGCCGACUGGUGAGGGUGACCGGCCACACUGGGACUUAGACACGGCCCAGACUCCUACGGGAGGCAGCAGUAGGGAAUCUGCGGCAAUGGGGGGAACCCGGACCGAGCACCGCCGCGUGAGUGAAGAAGUUUUUCGUAUCGUAAAUCUUGUUUGUUAAGGAAGCGGUACUUAACAAGAAAGGGACGGCUAACUACGUGCCAGCAGCCGCGGUAAUUC